rnacentral:rRNA from 1 species
AACGAACGCUGGCGGCAGGCUUAACACAUGCAAGUCGAGCGCCCCGCAAGGGGAGCGGCAGACGGGUGAGUAACGCGUGGGAAUCUACCCAGAUCUUCGGAACAACUGAGGGAAACUUCAGCUAAUACCGGAUACGCCCUACGGGGGAAAGAUUUAUCGGUUCUGGAUGAGCCCGCGUUGGAUUAGCUAGUUGGUGAGGUAACGGCUCACCAAGGCGACGAUCCAUAGCUGGUCUGAGAGGAUGAUCAGCCACACUGGGACUGAGACACGGCCCAGACUCCUACGGGAGGCAGCAGUGGGGAAUAUUGGACAAUGGGCGAAAGCCUGAUCCAGCCAUGCCGCGUGAGUGAUGAAGGCCUUAGGGUUGUAAAGCUCUUUCAGUGGGGAAGAUAAUGACGGUACCCACAGAAGAAGCCCCGGCUAACUUCGUGCCAGCAGCCGCGGUAACAC